rnacentral:rRNA from 1 species
UACGAAGGGGGGCUAGCGUUUGUUCGGAAUUACUGGGCGUAAAGCGCACGUAGGCGGAUAUUUAAGUCAGGGGUGAAAUCCCAGAGCUCAACUCUGGAACUGCCUUUUGAUACUGGGUAUCUUAGUAUGGAAGAGGUAAGUGGAAUUCCGAGUGUAGAGGUGAAAUUCGUAGAUAUUCGGAGGAACACCAGUGGCGAAGGCGGCUUUACUGGUCCAUUACUGACGCUGA